ensembl:lncRNA
GGUGAAUUCAUUUUGAGCCUACUCAGUCUAGAAAACCAUGGCAAUAGUAAUAAUAAGUAUAUUUUAAGAUCGUCCAAUGAUGGCUAUCCUCAAACUGGGAAGGGGAACCAGGAGCUGCUCACCCCAGGAGCCUGGAUACUUCAGCAUCCCAACCUGGUGGUGAAUGAUGGCGUGGAGGACACUUGGGGAGACAUCAGUCUUCAGUCAAUGUUGGAACGUUGGGUUCUGAGGUGGUGUCUAAAGUCUCGGUUCUGUGGAUGAGACUCAGAAUUGGUAACUACUCAAAACUUGUAUCUAAGAGGUUUUGGACCAUGAAGCUGACAUACCAGGAGCAAUGGUUACUGGGCUCCCUCAGAUGACUCAAGCUCUAUACCUUUGUAUUGUGGGGCAUUUCUGAUCACUCUGUGGUCAGAUCCUCUGAACAAAGAAGUAUCUGGUUACUGCCUGCCU